GGUAGACAUUCGUAUAAGCGCACAAUGAAAUUUUUCGAAAAAGCAUAUUUAAAGCAGAUUAUUUCGAAAAAAAGAUUUUGAUAUGUCAAUUACUGUAAUGCUAUAUUAUAUACCAAUGACUGGCGCCAGUAAGUCGGCAUGUAACGGUACUUGCUUAAGUAGGCAAAUCACAAUAAAAGAAGCAUCCCAGUAGUAACGUGGACAUUCGUAUAAGCGCAUGUUAGAAAAAUACAUAUUUUUUAAAAGAGGAGCUGCAGCGUAAAUUUUUUUUUUGCUUUUCAUUAGACGGUAGAUAAUAAAUAAAAGAUCAUGCCUAAAGGAUCUUAUUUGACGCAAGAAGAACGGGUGUCAGUUAAAUUGUUAAAGGAAGAGAAGUACUCAAAUCGUGCGAUUGCAAGGAGAAUAGAGAGGUCUGAGAACGUAAUCCGUAAUUUUUUAAAAAAAGGCAGUAAGUAUGGAAUAAAACCGUCAACAAAGGGUAACCAAAAACUGACACUCCGUCAAAAAGGGCAAAUAUUCCAUGAAGCAACAAAAAAUAAACUAAAUUGCAGCCAAAUUAAAGCAAAAUUAGAGAUCGACGUAACACCUCGUCAAAUCGCCAGGGUGCUCAACA